CCUAACCAGAUCGAGCCGGGCCGAUGAAGUAUAGGGCUUGGGCUGUAAUCCCGCGGGACGCCCUCCAACCCACCACCCACCACUGGCGGAUUUUCUUCCCCAACUCGUUUCUCUUUCCUGCGCUGCAAAAAUUUUUUACAUGCCUUGUCAAGAGGCUUCCAACAUUGCUUGUCCGUGUCCGAGGCUAUUAGGGAUCGGCGGCGGCAGAUUCGGGCGAUCGUGCACUCCUCCGGCACAGGCAGCAUAUGUCGGCAAUCAGGCACGGAAGGGAGGGUUUGAGAGGGAGAGAAAGGGAGCGGGCGCCGGACAUUUUUGAUCGAGCAAUGAGCGGAAGCUUCGAGAGGGGGAGCAAGGGAGAGGAUGUGGAUUUAGGGGGUUUGAAGCGAGGGAUUGGAAGAGAUUGAUCGGCAGGCGAAGGAGAACCAGCAAUAUCCUUGUCCUUGACAAGGUCAGCAGAAGUAAGGUGAUGCCGAGGCAGCGAGAAUGACGGUCGUUGAAACAAUGAAAAACCCUAACCUUUUUUUUUUUUUAGUUAGCCGGACUUUUCGGACCGUCGACGCUUACAUUAAGGCGGGGCCGACCCUGCUGCGGCCUGGCCGGGUGCCCAAUCAAAUGUACAUCACUCUUUUGGAGUUAAACGUUGAAUCAACGAGUUAUAUUCUCAAUUA